rnacentral:rRNA from 1 species
UACGGAGGGUGCAAGCGUUAUCCGGAUUCACUGGGUUUAAAGGGUGCGUAGGAGGGCAGGUAAGUCCGUGGUGAAAUCCUAGAGCUUAACUCUAGAACUGCCGUGGAUACUAUCUGUCUUGAAUCCCGUGGAGAUGAGCGGAAUAUGUCAUGUAGCGGUGAAAUGCUUAGAUAUGACAUAGAACACCAAUUGCGAAGGCAGCUUACUACCCGAAUAUUGACACUGAGGCACGAAAGCGUGGGGAUCAAACAGG